AGGACAUCAGGUUUAUCCAUUAAACUCAAUGGGGAUCAAAGGGACAUCAGGUCUACCCAUUAAACUCAAUGGGGAUCAAAGGGACAUCAGGUCUACCCAUUAAAGUCAAUGGAGGGAGGGUCAACAGGUCUACCCAUUAAAGUCAAUGGGGAUCAAAAGGUCAACAGGUCUACCCAUUAAAGUCAAUGGGGAUCAAAGGGACAUCAGGUCUACCCAUUAAAGUCAAUGGAGGGAGGGUCAACAGGUCUACGCAUUAAACUCAAUGGAGACACGGUCAACAGGUCUACCCAUUAAAGUCAAUGGGGAUCAAAGGGACAUCAGGUCUACCCAUUAAAGUCAAUGGGGAUCAAAGGGACAUCAGGUCUACCCAUUAAAGUCAAUGGGGAUCAAAGGGACAUCAGGUCUACCCAUUAAAGUCAAUGGGGAUCAAAGGGACAUCAGGUCUACCCAUUAAACUCAAUGGGGAUCAAAGGGACAUCAGGUCUACCCAUUAAACUCAAUGGAGGGAGGGUCAUCAGGUCUACCCAUUAAACUC